rnacentral:lncRNA from 1 species
AGUCAAGAGUAUGUUGAUGCCUUGAGAGGCUACCUGGAACAGAGGCUGGACAGAGUUAAAGGAAUGAAGAAAUCACAGAUCUAGUAUUGCAAAUAGAAAAAAUACAUAAUGGAAUAUCUUACACAAGCUUAAGAAGAUCUUUAAAUAAGCAAGAAUUAUAAACACAAAUUUCAGUGUCUUUCUGGAGCAUUCAUCUGCAUGAGCCUUCUGAGGGCACUUAAACCUACCAAUACAAAACUCCCUUAAGCUCAGAGAAUUCCAAAAUGAAAUAUGUUGACAUUUUUGUAGUGACUUGUGAAAGGAUCCCCCCAAAGUGUCCUACAUUUCUCCUAAAGUGUCCCACACUGGGUGUGAUUCGGCUCAUGAUUUUACACACUGAAAGACCGACAUCCUGCACUGGUCGUCCAGUUACUGGAAAAAGACACAAAUAUUUCCAAGAAGAGGUUUACUCACAGUGUUUUUCCUCCUUGGUUAGAGAUGGAUCAGGAUUAGCUAGCCUGCAGGAGGCAGCUCCAUUCUAGGUAGCCAGUCCAAGGCAUCAAUACCUGCUAGAAAAGGAAUGUAGGAUCUAGAGCCAACAAUUAAUUGAGAAGAUAAAGAAGUGGAAAACUCCUGCUACAUCAUGGCUGAAUUUUCAGUGGAUUUCAACCUAUAAGUUUAUCAAGGUCUAGGAUAUUGAUUCAGUAGGGGAAGAAGUGCAAUACAGGAGAAGGGGAAGGUUACAGAGGAAGGUUAUUUGGGUGGAUUUAUUUAAACUCAAAUCUGAAGUGUUAUAUGGCUCUCCUUUCCCCUUUAAGGAAAUAGUACUGCAAUCAGGAUUAACUGUUAAAAUAUAGUGGUGUAGUAUAUAUACAAUAUAUGUAUUUUAGUGUGUGUGGGUACACAUCAAUCCCAGCACAAACUGGAGCACUAAAAGGCUGAAAAUUUCACUAAGGAUCAAAGAUACAUCAUGGAUAUCAAUACAGUUGCAUCCUCAUGAACAGCUGCCUUCUCUUACGCAGCUUUAUCUAAGUGGAUCCCAAUACAUCACAGUUUAACCCCAAUGUAGCUCUCUUGCUUUCCAGCUUUUCUGGAUACUACCUUUUCCAUGGAAGUCAGGAAAGAGAUAUUUACAGGUAUCUGUAUGACAGUACUCCAGCACAUUAUUGAAGCAGAGUUUCACUGCUUUAAAAGUUAGUGUAGUGAGUGAAUACUGUUAUGCUAAUCUAUACAAGUUGUGCUUCUAGAUGUAGAUUUUGAAUACACAUUCCAGUGAGUGUAAGAAAGAGAGGACUAUUUUUCCCAAGACAUAUAGACACACUUCCCUUUUAAUUCAGCAAGACUACCAUAUACAGAAUACAGGAUUUCACCUUUAAAUGUUAACACAUGUAAGCACAUGUAUGUACAGAUACAAUAAAGUUUAUUUGAACUCAGCUUUGAAAUUUCCA